UACUAUUGAACGUAUUUAUGUUUGAUAACCUUAAAUAUAUUCGUUAUAUUAUUAUCUUCAUUAAACGUCCAAGGGAACUGAUAUUUGUAAUGUUGGGAUAAUUAAUUCGUUAAAUAGGUUCAUUGACAUUGUGUCAAAAUGGCCUGGGUCAACACACAUGAUGCCUCUGUCUUCUACAGCUUUGGUUUGAACUUUGAAGACAUUUCCUUGAAGAAAACCACCUGGGAUACCUACUUGGCGACUCCGGCUAUCCUUUAAAAAAUAUGUAUAAACGACCUUGCUUAGGCCGUCAACAGAUGCAGAGGUGUCUACAUGAAACUGAAGGAUGUUUAUUCAUGAGACUUGAUGAGUGCUGUCAAGCAGUAGAUGCAUGAAUGUGCCUGCACAACUUAUGCAUAGAUCAGCAGGUACCACUGCCUGAACAACUUACUAGUAUUGAGGCACAGGAAGUGGAUUAUGUUGUGUACGGUGCCCCACAACAGAACCAAAAUGCAGCACUUAUAGACAUCAUUAACUUAUUUAUGUAGGUGUUGUGUCAUGCUCACUUGUGCAUGAAGUGCUAUAGGUCAGCCAUUGUGGUUUGUCUAUGCCCGGCUUCAUGCCUUAUCCACAUUUGACUCUAUAGUGAUGAAAGUUGGUCAUAAUGUUUCUGUUAAUAACAGUCUGCAAAACUAAGUUUUUCGUCUUCAUAGCCAAUGUGGCUAUUAAACUUUGAUAAUGUCAUAGCCAGAGGAAAGUUUUCAUAGCCAGAAUAAUUAAUUUACAGUGACAUUAUCAUGAAAGAACGGCAACGGUCGUUAUAUAUAGAUUGCAAUUGGGGGGGGGGGUAAGAUUGUGAAAAAAUCAGUAUUCUAGGUUUCAAACUUUUAUUCCAUCACAUCUUACUCUGAGAGUUCUUUACAAUAUUUUGCAAUGUUAUUUUCAUUAUUAAUGAUAUAAAUGAUAAACACUGUUAUUUCGUUAUUUCAAAGCUAUUAAUAAAGACAUUCAACCAUUUUACUUAAUUUAUAAAAACCCUCGCACUAUUAUUUCAUUUAUCGGCGUAGAAUGCAAGAUCAGUUUACCAAAAGUAUUACAACAUUUUAAAUACGCAAGCCAGACUACACUCUAUAUAACAUCUAAGGGAGAUCACUAAUGAUAGAAAACUUAGGGAAGUAACCAAGCGUUUUCACUAAGAAUUUACACCUGAAAUGCGUCAAUUUAUUAUUAAUUGGUUUAUUUGCUCAGAUUUUUUUUCAUCGCAAUUCAGGUAAUCUAUUUUCAAUUUUUCUAUCGCCAGAGCUGAGAUUUCAUCGCAUUGGCGAUCAGGCGAUGGGUAAAUUUUGCAGACUGUAAUAAUAUCUAGGCUGUUUUCAAGUGUGGUCAAAAUCUGUGUAAGAGUGUUAAUAUUGAAAACUUCUAUGUCAUUCUUUUUUGUUGAUUUUUAGCUCGACUAUUAUAUAUGAAAUAUAUAUAGUGGAGCUAUCCUACUCUACCCGGUGUCGGCGUCUGUGUGAGCGUUGGAAUGUUAAUGUUUGCGUACCACCUCAAAUAUUUUUGUCCCUUGAGGCUUGACAUAUUGCUUUCAUAUUUUGCAUACUUCUUAACCAACAUGACUCCAAUCUAUAAAGAAGAGCAGACAACUGUAUCAAGCAUUUUGUAAGAAUUAUGGCCCUUUUUCCACUUAGAAUAUGCAUAUUAUUGACAAAUCUAUGUUAAAGUUUGUGUGCCACCUCAAAUAUUUUCUAUGUACCUUGUCAUAUUGCUGUUCUAUUUUGCAUACUUCUUUACCAACAUGACCACAAUCUAUAAACAAGAGCAGACAACUAUAUCAAGCAUUUUGUAAGAAUUAUGUUUCCUUUUUAUACUUAGAAAAUUGAAAAUUUGGUUUAGUUUUGUGUUAAGGUUUGCUUUAUUCCUUAAGUAUCAAAACUAUUGCUUUCAUACUUGCAACACUUACUAACUAUCAUAAGAGGACUGUGCAGGCAAAGUUAUGUAACUCUGACUGGCAUUUUGACAGAAUUAUGGCCCCUUUUAUACUUAGAUAAUUUUACAUUUGGUAAAGUUUUUUGUUUUGGUCCAGUUUACUCCUAAAGUACCAUAGCUAUUGCUUUCAGACUUAAAAAACUCUCUAACUAUCGUUAGGGGACUGUACAGUGCAAGUUGCAUAACUCUGGUUGGCUUUUUAACGGAAUUAUGGCCCUUUUUUGUCUAGUAACUUCAAAUAUUUUGUAAAAUUUUGUGUUAAGAUCCACUUUACUUCUAAAGUAUCAAAGCUAUUGCUUUCAUACUUGCAACACUUACUAACUAUGGUAAGGGGACUGUGCAGGCAAAGUUAUGUAACUCUGACUGGCAUUUUGACUGAAAUGAUUUGGUCCACUUUACCCCUAAAGUAUCAUAGAUAAUGCUUUCAUACUUGGAACACUCACAAACUAUCAUAAGGGGACAGUAAAGGACAAGUUGCAUAACUCUGGUUGUCAUUUUUACGGAAUUAUGGCCCUCUGACUUAGUAACUUUGAAUAUAUGGUUACAUUUUGUGUUUAGAUCCACUUUACUUCUAAAGUAUCAAGGCUAUUGCUUUUAAACUUCAAAUACUUUCAUGCUAUCAUGAGGGUACUGUACCUGGCAAGUUGAAUUUUACCUUGACCUUUGAAUAACCUUGACUCUCAAGGUCAAAUUAUUAAAUUUUGCUAAAAUUGCCAUACCUUCUUUAUUUAUGAUUAGAUUCGUUUGAUACUUUGACAAAACAACUCUUACCUGACAUACCACAAUUGACUCCACCCAAACCAUCCCCCACGCCCCCUCCCCGAAUCCCCCCUCAAAACCCCCCCCCAUUAUUUUUUUUUAAAUUAAAGAUCAUCUAAUAAAUGACCACCACACCCUAACACUAUACCCCCCCCCCCCCCACCCCCCACCCCAAAAAAUAUUUUUUAUGUCCCCGGUAGGGUGGCAUAUAGCAAUUGAACUGUCCGUCAGUAUGUCAGUCUGUCCUUCCGAAAAAAAUUUAACAUUGGCCAUAACUUUUACACUUUUUAAGAUAGCAACUUUAUAUUUGGCAUGCAUGUGUAUCUUAUGGAGCUGCACAUUAUGAUUGGUGAAAUGUCAAGGUCAAGGUCAUCCUUCAAGGUCAAAUUUAUGGCGUCUGUUCGUCCGAAAACUUUAAUAUUGGCCAUAAUUUUUUCAAUAUUGAAGAUAGCAACUUGAUAUUUGGCACGCAUGUGUACCUCAUGGAGCUGAACAUUUUGAGUGGUGAAAGGUGAAGGUCAUCCUUCAAGGUCAAAUAUCAAAUAUAUGGCAUCUGUCCGUCCGAAAAUUUUAACACUGACCAUAACUUUUUUAAUAUUGAAGAUAGCAAAACUUGAUAUUUGGCAUGCAUGUGUAUCUCAUGAAGCUGCACAUUUUGAGUGGUGGAAGUUCAAGGUCAUGGUCAUCCUUCAAGGUCAAUUUUUUUGUUUUAAUUUCAAAGCGGCGUUCUCAUGAAGCUGCAAAUUUUGAAUGGUGGAAAUUCAAGGUCAUCCUUUAAGGUCAAAGGUCAAAAAAAAAAUUCAAAGUGUUAUCAUGAAGCUGCACAUUUCGAGUGGUGUAGGUUCAAGGUCAAGGUCAUCCUUCAAGGUCAAGGUCAUUCUUCAAGGUCAAAGGUCAAACAAAAUAAUAAAAAAUUCAAAGCGGCGUUAUCAUGAAGCUGCACAUUUUGAGUGGUGGAAGUUCAAGGUCAAGGUCAUCCUUCAAGGUAAAAAAUAAAAUAAAAAAAUUCAAAG